GACGAACGCUGGCGGCGUGCUUAACACGUGCAAGUCGAACGGUGAAAGCGGAGCUUGCUCCGCUGGAUCAGUGGCGAACGGGUGAGUAACACGUGGGCAACCUGCCCCUGACUUCGGGAUAACUCCUCGAAAGAGGUGCUAAUACCGGAUACGAAUCCUGCAGGCAUCUGCGGGAUUGGAAAGUUUUUCGGUCAGGGAUGGGCCCGCGGCCUAUCAGCUUGUUGGUGAGGUAGUGGCUCACCAAGGCGACGACGGGAAGCCGGCCUGAGAGGGCGACCAGCCACACUGAGACUGAGACACGGCCCAGACUCAUACGGGAGGCAGCAGUGGGGAAUAUUGCACAAUGGGCGCAAGCCUGAUGCAGCAACGACGCGUGAGGGAUGACGGCCUUCGGGUUGUAAACCUCUUUUAGUAGGGAAGAAGCGAGAGUGACGGUACCUGCAGAAAAAGCACCGGCUAACUACGUGCCAGCCGCCGCAGUAA
rnacentral:rRNA from 1 species